GAUGAACGCUGGCGGCGUGCCUAAUACAUGCAAGUCGAGCGAACAGACGAGGAGCUUGCUUCUCUGACGUUAGCGGCGGACGGGUGAGUAACACGUGGAUAACCUACCUAUAAGACUGGGAUAACUUCGGGAAACCGGAGCUAAUACCGGAUAAUAUAUUGAACCGCAUGGUUCAAUAGUGAAAGACGGUCUUGCUGUCACUUAUAGAUGGAUCCGCGCUGCAUUAGCUAGUUGGUAAGGUAACGGCUUACCAAGGCAACGAUGCGUAGCCGACCUGAGAGGGUGAUCGGCCACACUGGAACUGAGACACGGUCCAGACUCCUACGGGAGGCAGCAGUAGGGAAUCUUCCGCAAUGGGCGAAAGCCUGACGGAGCAACGCCGCGUGAGUGAUGAAGGUCUUCGGAUCGUAAAACUCUGUUAUUAGGGAAGAACAAAUGUGUAAGUAACUAUGCACAUCUUGACGGUACCUAAUCAGAAAGCCACGGCUAACUACGUG
rnacentral:rRNA from 1 species